rnacentral:tRNA from 1 species
GCGCUCGUAGCUCAGUUGGAUAGAGCACCGGUUUCCUAAACCGGGGGUCGCAGGUUCGAAUCCUGCCGGGCGCA